GGAGGGUGCAAGCGUUGUUCGGAAUUAUUGGGCGUAAAGCGCGUGUAGGCGGCCCACCAAGUCGGGUGUGAAAGCCCUUAGCUCAACUAAGGAAAGCCAUCUGAAACUGGCGGGCUUGAGUACGGGAGAGGAGAGUGGAAUUCCCAGUGUAGAGGUGAAAUUCGUAGAUAUUGGGAGGAACACCGGUGGCGAAGGCGGCUCUCUGGACCGAUACUGACGCUGAGACGCGAAAGCGUGGGGAGCAAACAGGAUUAGAUACCCUGGUAGUCCACGCCGUAAACGAUGGGCACUAGGUGUAGAGGGUAUUGACCCCCUCUGUGCCGCAGCUAACGCAUUAAGUGCCCCGCCUGGGAAGUACGGCCGCAAGGCUA
rnacentral:rRNA from 1 species